rnacentral:rRNA from 1 species
CCUACGGGAGGCUGCCGUGAGGAAUAUUGGUCAAUGGGCGUAAGCCUGAACCAGCCAAGUCGCGUGAGGGAUGAAGGUUCUAUGGAUCGUAAACCUCUUUUAUAAGGGAAUAAAGUGUGGGACGUGUCCUAUUUUGUAUGUACCUUAUGAAUAAGGAUCGGCUAACUCCGUGCCAGCAGCCGCGGUAAUACGGAGGAUCCGAGCGUUAUCCGGAUUUAUUGGGUUUAAAGGGUGCGUAGGCGGCCUUUUAAGUCAGCGGUGAAAGUCUGUGGCUCAACCAUAGAAUUGCCGUUGAAACUGGGGGGCUUGAGUAUGUUUGAGGCAGGCGGAAUGCGUGGUGUAGCGGUGAAAUGCUUAGAUAUCACGCAGAACCCCGAUUGCGAAGGCGGCCUGCUGGGCUUUUACUGACGCUGAGGCUCGAAAGUGUGGGGAGCAAACAGGAUUAGAUACCCCUGUAGUC